GGUUCAGUUGGUAGAGCGCUCCACCUGUAAUGGAGAGGUCCCGGGUUCGAUACCCGG
rnacentral:tRNA from 1 species